rnacentral:rRNA from 1 species
UCCAGACUCCUACGGGAGGCAGCAGUGGGGGAUAUUGCACAAUGGGGGAAACCCUGAUGCAGCGACGCCGCGUGGGCGAAGAAGUAUUUCGGUAUGUAAAGCCCUAUCAGCAGGGAAGAAGAAAUGACGGUACCUGAGUAAGAAGCACCGACUAAAUACGUGCCAGCAGCCGCGGUAAUACGUAUGGUGCAAGCGUUAUCCGGAUUUACUGGGUGUAAAGGGAGCGUAGGCGGCAGUGCAAGUCAGAAGUGAAAGCCCGGGGCUCAACUCCGGGACUGCUUUUGAAACUGUACAGCUUGAUUGCAGGAGAGGCAAGUGGAAUUCCUAGUGUAGCGGUGAAAUGCGUAGAUAUUAGGAGGAACACCAGUGGCGAAGGCGGCUUGCUGGACUGUAAAUGACGCUGAGGCUCGAAAGCGUGGGGAGCAAACAGGAUUAGAUACCCGGGUA